rnacentral:rRNA from 1 species
CCCUUAGAUGUCCUGGGCCGCACGCGCGCUACACUGAUGCAUUCAACGAGUCUACCUUGGCCGAGAGGCCUGGGCAACCUUUUAAACGUGCAUCGUGAUAGGGAUAGAUUAUUGCAAUUAUUAAUCUUGAACGAGGAAUUCCUAGUAAACGCAAAUCAUCAAUUUGCAUUGAUUACGUCCCUGCACUUUGUACACACCGCCCGUCGCACCUACCGAUUGAAUGGUCCGGUGAGGACUCGGGAUUGUGGUUCUUGCCGCUUUAUUGUGGCGUGACCGCGAGAACUUGUCUAAACCUUAUCAUCUAGAGGAAGGUGAAGUCGUAACA